AGAAACUUAGGAUAAUAUUAAACCAAAGGCCUUCAAAGCCUUAAACAAGAGUUAAACUCUCUUAGUUUCUG
rnacentral:tRNA from 3 species